AUGGUAGAGAAAGCCCGGGAGAAGUUGCUCGCUCACGUGGUGGCGGCACUCAGGGGCGACAAGGGCGACCUCAAGAUGUACCUGAUCAUCGUGUCCCAUGCCAACAGGCGCAUCGAGAGCGGCGAGGAGCUGAAGCUGUGGCAUGCCUCGCUGCUGGCGUCGUGCUCAACACCACCGCCGCCAUGUUGCUCCUCGAGGCGUUCCCCCACAUCGGCCCGCGGCUUGUUUUCUCCUUCUAGCACGUCGCUGCCCUGGUGCGUUGAGGCGCUGCCCGAUGCGGCCCUGCGCCUCAUGACGACCUACACGUCGGAGCUGCUCAAGUUGUCCGCGCCAGCGACGGGGGCGUGGAGCGUGGCGGGAGCAUGGGGGAGGGCGUCAUUGUGGGCAUCCUCGACAACGACAUCAACCCAUGUCAUGUGUCCUUCCUCGACGAUGACAUGCCGCCGCCGGCCAAGUGGCACAUGGGGGCCCACAGGAGCACGACAAGCACACCUCUGGCACCAUCGCCAGGAGGGGGGCGGGUUGGUGCGGGACGUCGAGCUGUUUGGGGCCCAGGCCAGGACGGCGUCCGUCAUGGUGCCACGCGCGCACCUGGCAUGCUACGAGGUGUGCCUCGCUAACACCUGCUCGGCCACAGAGGUCCUCUUUGUCAUGCAGAUGGGCGCGUUCCAGGAUAGCGUCGAAGUUAUCUCCAUGUCCCUCGGCGACGACAUGGAGACGAGAAAGCCGUUCUACAAGGACCUCAUCGUCGUUGGCAGUUUCCCAACCGUCAUGUCUGACCUCUUCGUCGGCACCAACACCGUGAACGCUAGCUCGCUCGAGCGCACCCUCACAAAAUGCGCUCUGUGGCUGCUCACCGUCGCCGCCAGCACCAUGGGCCGCCGCCUCAUCUCCAGAGUGGAGCUCGGCAAUGGGAUGGUGCUUGACGUCGAGAACCUCAAGUGGUACAAGCGUGUCAGGGACAACCCUUUUCCCCUUCAUCUUCAUCGCGGGAAUGUUUGCCGACGGCGUGCUCAACACCGUAGACGUCCGCAGCAAGAUCGUGGCGUGCCAGCGCAAGGAGGACCCCAUCAUGCUCUCGGAGAUGAUCCAGAAGGCGGGCGGCGUGGGCAUGGUCAGUUGGUCGCCGCGUCGCGCAUGACGCACGCCGACGGUGAGAUGAUCAUGGCGUACAUCAACUCCACGCCCAACGUGCUGGCCUUCGGUUUAAUGCGCCAGAGGAUUGAGUUCACGGUGAAGCUCAAGAGAGGCGCCAGCCGCCAAUGGCACCGCGGAGGGCAGCCUCCGGUGGGUCUCCGACAAGCGCUCCGUGCACAGCCUAAUCGCCGUGCUCUUCGAACCAUUGCCCAACAACUGAUUAGGACCAUCUUCCCAGCAAGAGCUCUUUUCUGGUUUAUAUGGAGUAGCAGCUGUUUCAGAUAG
rnacentral:rRNA from 1 species